CUGCCUUUCUCAGUUUUUCUCCUUCAUGACUUCGUCUUCUCCUCAAUCCUCAGUCGUUGGUAGAGUCACCUGACUUCUUCACCACAGCCUCCUCCGCAGUCCGCAGUGACGGCUCCAAGCUCCUCAACCAUACUUUAAGUCGCCAUUGCUUGACUCACUUCCCUACGUUUUCUUCCAUAAACCCGCUGUUUUGAAGAUAUAUUUUUCCUUCUAGCUUUGAAAUUUUACCUUUUUUUGUAGUUUGGGUUUCUUUCGCAUCUUAUCUUUUUCGAUAAUUUUUUAGAAUUAGGGUAUGAAUCACUGACAUCAGUUUUUAUGGUAUGCAUCUGUAUAUUUGGCAAGAAUGUCAAACUUAACAUUAUUUUUUUUCUAGAAAAAAUGGCUAUUCUUCUAUGACGAUAUAUUGUAGUCAAUACACUGUUUGAAGUAUCUGAUUUAAUUUUUACGCUGAGUUUUAAUUAUUUGAGUUCCAUUGCCUAAUGUCCCAUUCUUUUGGAUCUUGUUCCGUACUCAUUCGCAUUGGAGAGCUGCAAAGGUGAGUGAAAUUUCUUAAAACCAUUAUCUCAUUAGAGUGCUAGUCAUUGUUGCUUAAUCCAUUUCUACAGAUAGCUCUGAAAUUGAGAAAGAUUUCUUGAAAGUUCUACUAACGAUAAUCUUAUUUUCAUGUAUGUUGUGGAAUUUUUUGCUUACGUAUGAAGUUUCAAUCAUCUGAUUUAACGUACAAGAAAAGCAGUAACAAGGACUACUAACAAGUUUAUUUGCUUAAAUUGACAUUUUCAGGGAAGUGAGAAGCUUCUUCAUUUAGUCGCUGAUGAUUCCACUUGUCCGAAUCAGCAUUUUGAGACAAAGAUGCGUGAGAGUACAGCAUCAAACUCUGAUGAAGGAAGUGAUGAUUCCGUUGGUCCUCCAUGGUACGUAUCCUAAUAUUGUGAUUUGUGAAAUAUUAAUUGCAAUAAUUGAUAUGCUCAUAGUUCUUUCUUUUGCUUUGUCCCUGUCCCUGGAUUUAGUUUUCUAGUAUUCAUCUUGGUUGCUUAGAGCUAAUUGCACAAAUAAGAGUGAAGCGGAGUCGUUAACAACAUAUGAACUUCAGAAUUUUAAGUUUUAAAUUACAAUAGGUUACAUAAUACACCAUUGAAUUUUGCAUUUAUGUUAAUUUUUGAGGGCCUAAUUUAUGGACGUCGCCUCGGGACUCGACAAUCACAAAACCAGCCAUAUUUCUAGUCAUUAAAAGCUUAUGAAAUCACCGACGGACAAGUUCAAUUCCGCAAAAUUCCGAUCCCGCCUCCCCAUUGCACUCCAUUAAAGAAAUCAUGAAUGGAAAUCGAUAUCCUAAUUUACGACCACGUGAAAACUGACUUUCGGAUGAACCUCAAAGCCUACCGUGUCAAAUUGAAGACCCGAUACGACACGCCUAACAUCACUAACCUCAACAAGUGCACCAACUUUGUUCAUUCCUUUAUGUUCGGCUUUGAUGUUGUUGACGUUGGAAUUAAUAAGUUAAUACCCACGAUUUAGAUGCAUGAAUUGGAAAAGUUUUUCAUGGAUGUGAUUACUAGACACGACUCUUCAAUUGUAAAGGGUGCAUAUUAAAUAGUCAUGUCGAAAUGAAUAGUGGCCUUUUGAUAAGGUGCUAUCAAUAUGAUAAAUUUAAAAUUGUGUGAUCUAAUGGUUAAAAUUAAUUUUUGUCAAAAGAUGCAACCAUUCAAAGAAAAACAUGAAAAUCUAUAAAAUAGGACAUUUUCAUUUUUUUUUUCACUCCAGUAAUUCAUUCUUUCUCCAAAUUAUAUCAAAGGUAAUUUUCAAAUUAUUUUUGAGUUUCAACUUUCAUAUUCGAUAUUUAACAUUCGAUACCUUUCGUUCCAGAAGAGUACAGUCAAGAGUUAGUUCAUCCAACAAAAUUAAUAUUGUGCUAUAUUAAUUUUGGAAGAUGCAUUAUAUCUUGAAAGACGACAUCAAUUUGAUCAUGUUAGCCUGAAGGGCAAAUUCUGUCUUAAGGAGAUUUACAUUCGCAUAUCCCGCUUCAUUUCAUCUACUUCUUAUUUCUACGUUUUAGUAAGUCAAAAUUGGUUUAGUUAAUUUAGUUUCAAUAAGUUAAAAUUCUAUUAGAUUUUACAAGUAUAAAGAUAAGUCACGAUUAUAUCUUAUUUUCAUGCUCCUAAUUUUGAUUAGCGGAACAUAAAUUAUACACCAUUUAUGUAGACGCAGUUGCAUUGCUUCGAUUAGACGAUCUUUAUGUUGAAUCCUUCAGAGAUUAACAAUGUGAAGACCAUAAGAGCCACGACUGUUCGAUUACCUGAAAGGUCUUGAAUAUUACCCUUGAUCAUUCACGAUACAGAUUCUUUUUCUUUUUACCUUUUUGUUGAGCUAAAAAAAUUCUAUUAAAGUAGUUGUUUUUAUGUUCAUAUGGUAGAACAUAAAGCCUAUGAUAUCUGACAUUUUUGGUCUUAAAACUCAAAAUGGAUUGUUCAUCAAUUUUACCAGUGCAUGUAUAUGAUCUUUCAUGAUUAAAUUAUCCAAAAGACGACAAUGUUCAAGUUGUGAGUGCUUAAACGGGUAUGCUGCUUUGCCAUGACUUGAUAACAAUGCUCCUUUAAAGAGGACAAGUAAUUUCACCUUAAUACUCACAAGCCCAAGUUUUUCAUAGCCAUUGGCACCACAAGAGGAAAUACAGUAGAAAGAAAACUUCCAAACAUGAACACGAAUGGAACAGGGUAAAAGUUCUUCGGUGAAGAGCACGGUCAAGACGACAUUUUUAGAUAUAAGAUUUGGGACUUCAAAGUCGAUGCAACGGUAGUCUCAUCCUUAGUUGUCAAAUCUAAUGGAGGUUUCAAUCUGCUGGAUUAACAUUGGCAGAUAAAAGAAGGCCUCGACAAAAAUGAUGGAUAAAAACUGAUAAUAUAUAUUUAUUUUAUUAUAUUAGGUUUCCUUGUAAUAUAUAAACUGAUUUGUUUCAUUGUUUAACCUAAUUUUUGGUGGCUCAAUAAUGUCUUCUUCUUCUCCUUUGAUUGUUUUAUCAAAUAAGUUCGUAUUAUUUUCAUGGUAUCAGAGCCAAAAUCUAUGCAUUGAAGUUGAUUCUAUUUUGUGCAAAUUGAAAACGGUGCUCCAGAAUAUUUGUUUUCAUGAACAUUGAAUUGGACUGUUUGUGGUUGGAUUGAAUGAUAAAUUGUGUCUGCUUUGUGUUUUAAAAAUGGACAAUGGUUCAAAUUCUGCUUUUUGAUUGUUCAAAUUGUUGGACAAUUUUUUCAAAUUGUUGGCAACUUCUCAUCACUUUCUCUUAUCAAAAUAGGCAGCCUCAACACAAGUGGGUUCAUUGGUAAGUUGUGAUUGUUUGGUGAUUUAUUUUGAUUACAAGUUUUGAUUGUUUGGUGAUAUUACUUUGAUUGUUCUUGUACUUUGUGAUAUAUUCUAGCGAUAGUUCAUGGUGGUGAGUUGGUUGUCAUUGUUUUUCUUGGAAUUUAGUGAUUUCUUCUGACUGGCAGUAGUUUAUUUGUUUAUUCCUUGAUGGCAACUGAAAGAGAUGAUUCACUUCAAUUUAUUAGUGUCAGAUUAAAUGGUAAAAAUUACUCAUAUUGGAGUACCGUGAUGAGAAAUUUUUUAAAAGGAAAAAGAUUAUAGGAUUAUGUUAGUGGAACUGUUGUGAAACCUGAGAACACCGCUAAGAAUUAUUUAACAUAGUUAGAGAAUUGGGAGUUGAACAACGCAAAAAUUCUCACUUGGAUUCACAAUUUUGUUGAACAAUCCAUUGGUACAUAGUCAACAAAGUUAAGUCCAACUUUGCAAAAUGGUAUCAGUUAGAGAUUGAUAUAUGGGCUUUACAUCAAAAGGAUAUGAGUAUUCUUGAGUUUUACGCAACUAGAAUUCAAUUUGGGAUGAGUUGGCUCUUCAAGAAUUAAUAGGACUAAAAGUAUGUGAGAAAUAUAUUACUUUUAAAGAGGGGCAGCGAUUAGUUCAAUUUUUAUAGCACUUUGUAGUGAUUUUGAGGGACUUGGAGGCUCUAUAUUGCAUCACACUCCACUUUCCUUAGUUGAUUUGGUGGUUAGUAAACUUAUAGCUGAUGAAAUACGUUUGAAAUUUCUUGCAGGAGAAGUAUUUCUUCCUUCAUCUAGCACCUUAGUGUUGGCUGUGCCCUCUCGACUGUCUACACAAAAUCAAAACAAAGGUUAUGUACGAGUUGCCAGUGAUGAGUGUAGCUUUUGCAAACAAAAAAGAUAUUGGAAGUCUUAAUGUCCUAAACUAUUGAAGAAACAGUAGCCUCAAUCACAGCAGCGAGCCUAUCGUCCCAAUGCUAACAUAGCUAACACCAUGCCACCUAAUUACUCGUCUAUACUUGGAACACCACCUUCCUCCAGUCCCAUGUCAACGGAUUUAGCAGAGCUGUUUCAAAAGUUCUUAGCCACAUAGCUAUAUACUAUGUCAACCUCUACUUAUAUAGGUUUGUCAUCUUAUAGUUACUCAGGUAUUUCUUCCUCAUGGAUCUUUGACUCAGGUGCUUCCAAACACACGUCUAACUUAAAUUUUUUUAAUGACUUGUAUCUUUCUAACCCAUCUAUGUCUGUCAUGACUGCUGACGGCACACCAUUACCUUUAGCAGUGUUUGUUCUGUUUAUCACUUUCAGAUAUCUAUUGUGUUCCAACUCUUAUUUUGAAUCUUAUCUCUAUUACCCAAUUGUGUGAUUCUGGAUACUCAGCUCAGUUUUCUUCUACUAUUUUUCAUGUGCAGGAUUCUCAAUCUCAGAACCUGAUUGGGAUAAACCGUAGAUAAUGAGGGUUUUAUGUUCUGGAAAAUCUAAGACCACCACAAGUUGCAACCUCUAAUGUUGAUUUGUCAUCUUUUUCUUUGAAUUCAUUGUCUUCUAGUUUUUAUUUGUGGCAUUCUCGCCUUGGACAUAUUAUCGCUAGUCGUUUGAAAUUUUUAGAUUCUAAGGGUCAAUUGUGAAAUAUACAAACUCAUUAACAUUUCUGAUUGUAUUGAUUGCAAAUUAGCAAAAUUUUCUGUAUUACCUUUUCAUCGAAGUAUUUCU
rnacentral:lncRNA from 1 species